CACGUAAGUGGCAAGCGUUGUUCGGAUUCAUUGGGCGUAAAGGGCGUGUAGGCGGCGUAUCAAGCUUGGUGUGAAAUAUCCCGGCUCAACCGGGAAGGCGCGCUGAGAACUGAUAUGCUAGAGUUCAAGAGGGGGAGUUAGAAUUCCAGGUGUAGGGGUGAAAUCUGUAGAUAUCUGGAAGAAUACCGGUGGCGAAGGCGAGCUCCUGGCAAUGAACUGACGCUGAGGCGCGAAAGCGUGGGUAGCAAACAGGAUUAGAUACCCUGGUAGUCCACGCUGUAAACGAUGUGCACUAAGUGUUUGGGGGUUACCCUGAGUGCUGAAGCUAACGUAGUAAGUGCACCGCCUGGGGAGUAUGCUCGCAAGGGUGAA
rnacentral:rRNA from 1 species